CCUCCCAGCCUGGAGGGGACCCUGGUGCCCUGGUUGCUCAUGUUCCUGCCUUGGGCUCUAUACUGUGAGGCCAGGCUGGUGACCUUGUGUGAAACUGUGUGGGCUGCAAUGGGGUAGGUGACCAGACACAGCAGGUGUGGAGUCUCCCAGUCACAAGGCAAUGGCUGGUCUGCUGGAGGGCCAUCGUUCCUUGGUCUGUGCCUGCUGGCUGCCCUGGGGCCUCAGGGAGAGGCUUCUCCUAAACACCACCCCUCCCCAACCCUGGCACAGGCUGAGAGUUUGAAAACUUAAUACUCGAAUCCAGAUCAGACUUAGGUAGUUUGGUGUCUACUAUUUAUGAGAUGCACAGGUCCCAGCAUCUUCCUUAGAGAGGCUUUCAAUGAAUGUGUGGAGUCAUUUCCUCUCAUUUGUCAGAAACGGGACAGUGGGCUGUGAAAAAGCCAAGUGGUUAGGCUGGGAAGUUAUGAGAGCCCAUGGGCUGCUGUGCUGUGGCCCUGUUGUGGCAGGUGGCCAGCCUCCACUUCCUGGAGGUUUCAGCUGAGGCCCUGCCCAGGACGCCCCAGCUCAGGAGGCCGACUUCCUGGAGAACUGACUGUGCAUGUUAAAAUAACUCACAGGAAGCUUUUGAGUAGCUCUGUUUCAUGUUCUCAUAAGAUGGUCAGCCAGCCUAAAACAGAUUGAAAUGUUUCCAGCUGUCAUUAUAGAGGUGUUCAAUUUUCAAGGUCACCAAUUCAGCUUGAAAGUUAAGAUUGAAGAAACAUAGAUGGUAUUAAAGAGAAAAAAACAAGUGACUUAAAAAAUUAGAUAUCUAAUUUGUUGUCUGAAGAGCUCAUGCCCAUUGUAGACAUUUGGGGGAAACAGGAAUGUGAUGUGAGAGUGAAAAGCUUUCCAUCCACUGCCCAGAGGGGACCACCUUGAAUAUUUUGAUUUAUUUUUCCAGUUUUUUCUUUUUUCCAGUCUGUCUCCUAUCACACAAAAUUGGGAUCAUUUUCAAAAUUAGUAUCAAACAUUUUAUUUAUUUAUAUUUAAACUUUUUUUAAAUGGUGGAACCUGCAGCAUAUAGAAGAUGCUAGGCCAGGGAAUGAAUCUGAGCCACAGCUGUGGCAACAUCAGAUCUUUAACCCACUGCGUGGGCGUGGGGCCAGGGAUCUCGAACCUGUGCCUCUGCAGUGACCUGAACUGCUGCAGUUGGAUUCUUAACCCAGUGUGCCACAGCAGGAACUAGUCUUUCCUUUUUGACUUUCACUUUUUAUUGUGGAGAAUUUUAAAUGUAUAAAAGUAGGGAGAGUAGCAUAACAGAGCCCUAUGUGGGACCCUAACCCCUCUAACAGUUUCUUCCAGAGCCUGUUCAUAUCCUCCUCUUGUAGUUUCUGAAGCAAAUCCCAGGCUAGGGGUCUAAUCGGAGCUAUAGCCACCGGCCUACACCAGAGCCACAGCAACAUGGGAUCCGAGCCGCAUCUGCAACCUACACCACAGCUCACGGCAAGCCGGAUCGUUAGCCCACUGAGCAAGGGCAGGGACUGAACCCACAAUCUCAUGGUUCCCAGUUGGAUUCGUUAACCACUGCGCCACGACGGGAACUCCUGAUUUGUCUUUUUAUUUUGGCCAUGCCUGCAGCAGGUGAAAGUUCCCACACCAGGGAUCAAGCCCACGCCAUAGAAGUGACAAUGCUGGAUCCUUAACUGCUAGCUAGCAGGGAACUCCUUGUCUUUUUAAUCUCUAGGUUUCCCUUUAACUCCCCUUUCUCCUUGGAACUUUGUUGUUGAAACCAGGUCAUUUGCUCAGAGCUGUGAGCUGUGUGCUGAAGCAGCACCAGCAGCACCUGGAGCAAGUCAGAGGCACAGGAUCUGGAUGUAAUCAGGCUGCUGAGCCAUAUCUGUCUGGGAUGCUCUGUAAAGAACAUUUUAAAAGAUAAUUGGAUCCAGGAUGGUCUUUUAUUUUUGCAGGACUGUUGUGUUCUUCCUACAGGAGGCACAGCCAUCAGGUGGCUUCUCUGGAUGGUGGCAGCCACGGUGACCAGUGCCCAGUCCCGCUAGUCACAGGCCUCCCAGCACUGUUACUCUGUCUGUCUCUGCUUCUCUAGAGAAGCUUUCCCAUAAGCACUGUUCGAUUAUCCAGCAUGGAUGGGGACCUUCCUGUGUUUCACGUGGUCGAAGCUCCUUGCCUCCCAUGGCCAUCAGGAGCCUCUGCAGUCAGCUCUUGACCCUUUGGCAUAGUGGUCUCAUGGCCCCUGACCUUGGAGUGAUAAGAUGGUCUGAGCACGCCAUCCAGUUCCCUGCCCCAGGCCCAGAAUCAGCCAUUUCUCCAAGGAGCCUGGUCUGGACAUGACAUUUGGAGGCCCCAGUCUGGGCCCUGGGACAGCUGUUGGAUCGGGGGUGGUUUGUGGCUUUUCCGAUGGACGGAGCAGGGAGGUUUUCUGGGAAUGAAGCGAGCCCUCCUGAUCUGUCCCUUUGUGGCGCCUGGUCCUGCUCUGAUCUUGUGCUCACAGCUCUUGGACCCAGGAACAGCAGAACUUCUUUGCUGCUCGCUUCCCUUUCGGCUCCGUGGUGAUGAGGCUGCACUGAUGGCAGGUCACUGGAAAGUCAUCUUGCUGGGGGUGGGGGGGUUCCUCAGUCAUACAUGCUUCAUGUUCCUGUGCUAUUCAGUCACUAGGAAUAGUGCCUCCUGAUGGGAGUGCCAACUGGAGACACACCUGGUUUCCCAUUUUAUUUGGGAAAGAAAUUCAUCUGAGCCUUGAGGUCAGGUGGUUGAAUUCAUCUGACAUUUGCCCCAAAUCUGAAAACUUUGUUGGAGUUGCCUUGGAAGCUGGCUCGGGGUGGGGGUGACUACCGAUGGGGAUAGGUUUCAUUGUGAGGUGAUGAAAGUGUUCUAAAAGUCCAUGGUGUGAUGGUUGCACAACUCUGUGAAUAUACUAAAAACCAUUAAGAGAAUGAAAUUUUAUGGUAUGUAGUUAUGCCUCAAUGAAGCCAUAGAAAUAUUGGGUGGGGAGGGUCACAUACCAUCCUGAGCAUGGAGGCUGAGGAUCCCUUUCCCCAGGAAAAUGUUUAUCCACAAACCAUAUGCAUCUUCAAGGGUUUGUUGGUGUCCUGGGCUGUCAGGUUAGGAGUCUUGCCCCAGUCCUACCUGCGGCCUCAGCACUGAGCCAGGGCUUCUAUAUCUAUGUUGCCUGGACAACGGUAAUCAUCCCUCCUGGUUCCCUGGUCAUCCUGUGUCCCAUCUGUAACCACCCCCCCCCUACUACGCUCAGCCCCAGGUGGUCUCUCCUGGACCCACCCUGUCCUCUGGCCACCCUCCCUCUGUCUCUCUCCUCAAUUGUGUCUGGGUUGCUCCUGGCCCUUGGCUCCACCCCAGCUGGGUGCUGCCAGAAUGUCCACACAUGGCUGCCUCAUGUGGCCUGGUUCAAGGGGAGCAUCUGAAGGAGAACUGGGUGUAUGCGAUAUCUUUUUAAAGGUUUAGUCUUGGAGACCUUGCGGCAUGGCUUCUGCAGACAGGAGCAGUCUCAGGCCACACAGUCAAGGGGGCACAGAAACUGGCUCCUGGUCCAAGGGAGGGAGCUUGAGGCAAGUGUAGAAACAUUGCUGGGGUCAUUUUUGAACAUUAGCCUGACCCAGCACAGGGGGUCAGUACAGGAUUGCUGUCUCUCAGCUGCAGAACUCAUCCCCCCCACGUCUGUCCUCACAAAGAUGUCUUUCUAAAAUGGAGAUCUGAUUGAAUUGCUUUCCAGCCAAGCAGCCUGUGUAGGAAGAGUCCUGUGUGGAAUGGGAUCUCCCACCCUGAACCAGCUCACCCAGCCCCCUGCGGCCCCUCCCCCUCCAGAAGGGAAGCACAGGAGUAGCAGAACUGAGCACUCACUCCUGCAGCCCCCUCCCCCAACUUCUCUCUUUUUUGGGACUUCAGCCUUUAGAGGAGGUGCCAGUAAAUGGUGAAAUUGGUCUGAAUCAAAGAGAAGCAAAAAGCUGAGAAAAUUUAACCAACUCUGGGUGGUCAGAACCCAGCAGGUCCAGGAGGAUAUUGGGGAGGAAGGCAGGUGAGGAGAAAAGAGGGGACUGAGGUUUGUGUUGGUUUAUAAAACCCUCCAGCUCUGUCCUAAGCAGUACCAGCCAUCCGCAGGUCCAGGCAGCAGGUCUCAUAUUUGCUUUGAGCUGAUUACUGGCAAAAUUGCCAUUUUUGGGAGCAUCUACACUGCCCGGGGCAGGUGACACAAAACCUUUGAUCUGUCUUUGCUCUCUGAUCUUCUUUAACCAUCCCCCACCCUAGACCCCAUCUGCAGGUGCAACCCACCUGGAGGUGCUCUGGCUGUGUCUUCCAGGGCCUCAGGCUGCUGUCCUGCAGUGGCCCAGACUAGGGAGGUCUCAGGUGAGGGAGAUUUUGGGGGGGCGAGGUGCCUGGGAAUUGCAUCAUCAGGUACUGCUGAACUGAGUCACAGUGGAGGCAGCUGCCAGGCCUGCUCCCUAACUUGGUGCCAAGCGCCAUCAAGCGCACUUGUUGAGCUCACUCUCCUUUCAUGGCGAACAUUCUGUUGAGUGUCCUUUGAAAGCAGUUUUAUGGGACAACUUUCUGAAGAGCUUUGACCCCGGAAAAUUGUGUUGCAACUAGAGCUUGCAGACAGAUAUGUUUCUAGGGAAAAGUAGAAGUAGGAUCUGCUGUGUCUGUCAGCAUAGCACUGACCUUAGAAAUGAAGUGAAAAUGUGCUGACUUUUCAUGUUUCUCCUCUGCCCCAAGCACUUAUUUUGGAGGAGGGUAGGCUUGGAGAAAAAUGGCUCAAAAAGUAGAUUUCCUAAUGUACAGAAACCAAAAUCUUUUGGUCUUUCUGUCCGGUGCUUUGUUUUUAAAGAAAUGCAACAAGGACUUUACCAGUGUUAAAACCAGUCUGUUUUUGUCUCCUCUUCCUUUCUGUUUUCUCUCUGUCUCUUUAAAUGUAGCUGCAGAUAAUAAAGAUGAAGAAAUCAGAGUUGCCCCCAGGCGGUCGUAUCUGGGUACGUACCACGCUGCAUGAGCCACCCACUAGAAUGUUCAGUCCACUUCAUUCUUUGCAGCUCUCUUCCUCUCUGACUUCACUUCCAUCUGUGCCUGCAUCUUGACCAUGCAUGUGCAUCAUUCACCCAGCGUGGCCACCUCUUCAGCAAGCUAACCAACCACAGCCUGCUGUGUUCAGGCUUGAAGUAGCUCCUAGAUACCUGCCUACUUUCUGUUUGGGGGCGGAGGGUGAGGCGGGAAGGGAGGGAAGGAAGGGUUCAGAGAGGCAGAAAGAAAGAAGAAAGAGAAAUGAUCAGAACACAAGUUUUGGGAUUCUUUUGUUAAAUUUAUUCCUAAGUAUUUUAUUCUUUUUGAUUCUGUGGUAAAUAGAAUUGUUUUCUUAAUUUCACUUCGGAUUGUUCAUUGUUACUUUGUAGAAAUAAAAUUGAUUUUCACAUAC
rnacentral:lncRNA from 1 species